rnacentral:lncRNA from 10 species
CCAGGAGAGAUCAAGGUAGAAACUGCAAUGCCUUUUAUGACCUCACCUCAGAAGUCACACAUCAUCAUUUCCACAAUGUCACAGUGGUUAUACAAGUGAGUCCUGUUCAGCGUGGGAGGAAAUAACACAAGAGGCAAAGAUCACUCGGGACCACCUUGUAUAUUGGCUACCACAGAACCCAACACAAGCAGAUUGCCUUGGAAAGAAAUCAAACUCAGAAACAGACAAGCCAAGCCCACCGUAUUCUUGGAGACACCUUCAGGUUGUGAGUGAGGAAUGGAUGCCAUUGUUAGUGGCUUCCGUUGUGCUCAGUGGAAACACGCAUCUACAGGUAGAAUGUAGAGGAACA